rnacentral:tRNA from 1 species
GGGCGCUUAGCUCAGUAGUAGAGCGCAACGUUCGCAACGUUGAGGCCGGGGGUGCGAAUCCCCCAGCGUCCA